rnacentral:rRNA from 1 species
AAGGAAUAUUGGUCAAUGGACGGAACACUGAACCAGCCAUCCCGCGUGCAGGAUGAAGGCCCUCUGGGUUGUAAACUGCUUUUACCAGGGAAGAAACGUGUAGGCUACCCUACACCUGACGGUACCUGGGGAAUAAGCACCGGCUAACUCCGUGCCAGCAGCCGCGGUAAUACGGAGGGUGCAAGCGUUAUCCGGAAUCACUGGGUUUAAAGGGUGCGUAGGCGGCUUGGUAAGUCAGAGGUGAAAGCUUCCCGCUUAACGGGAGAACUGCCCCUGAUACUGCCAGGCUUGAAUCAGGUUGAGGCAGGCGGAAUGUGGCAUGUAGCGGUGAAAUGCAUAGAUAUGCCAUAGAACACCGAUUGCGAAGGCAGCCUGCCAAGCCUUGAUUGACGCUGAGGCACGAAAGCGUGGGGAGCAAAC